AAUCUAUUUGUUUAGCUUAAUUCGAAACCUUAGUCUAUUGUGUGAUCUGAGAGCUUUGUGAAAUUCGACCCUAAAGUACUACAAUCGAUCUCUUAUUUGAGAGAGUGGUCUUAGGAUUAAUUUGACCCAUAUCAUAAAGCAAGUUGGAUUUAUAAGUUUAGAGCC
rnacentral:sRNA from 1 species